AUCCAGCUGAAGAGCCCCAAAUAGGACGAAACGCGCGUCCUGGAU
rnacentral:hammerhead_ribozyme from 1 species